rnacentral:rRNA from 1 species
CGAUGAUCUCCAGCUUGCUGGGGGGAUUAGUGGCGAACGGGUGAGUAACACGUGAGUAACCUGCCCUUGACUCUGGGAUAAGCCUGGGAAACUGGGUCUAAUACCGGAUAUGACCUUCCAUCGCAUGGUGGUUGGUGGAAAGCUUUUGUGGUUUUGGAUGGACUCGCGGCCUAUCAGCUUGUUGGUGGGGUAAUGGCCUACCAAGGCGACGACGGGUAGCCGGCCUGAGAGGGUGACCGGCCACACUGGGACUGAGACACGGCCCAGACUCCUACGGGAGGCAGCAGUGGGGAAUAUUGCACAAUGGGCGCAAGCCUGAUGCAGCGACGCCGCGUGAGGGAUGACGGCCUUCGGGUUGUAAACCUCUUUCAGUAGGGAAGAAGCGAAAGUGACGGUACCUGCAGAAGAAGCGCCGGCUAACUACGUGCCAGCAGCCGCGGUAAUACGUAGGGCGCAAGCGUUAUCCGGAAUUAUUGGGCGUAAAGAGCUCGUAGGCGGUUUGUCGCGUCUGCCGUGAAAGUCCGGGGCUCAACUCCGGAUCUGCGGUGGGUACGGGCAGACUAGAGUGAUGUAGGGGAGACUGGAAUUCCUGGUGUAGCGGUGAAAUGCGCAGAUAUCAGGAGGAACACCGAUGGCGAAGGCAGGUCUCUGGGCAUUAACUGACGCUGAGGAGCGAAAGCAUGGGGAGCGAACAGGAUUAGAUACCCUGGUAGUCCAUGCCGUAAACGUUGGGCACUAGGUGUGGGGGACAUUCCACGUUUUCCGCGCCGUAGCUAACGCAUUAAGUGCCCCGCCUGGGGAGUAC